rnacentral:rRNA from 1 species
CACGUAGGGGGCAAGCGUUGUCCGGAAUUAUUGGGCGUAAAGAGCGUGUAGGCGGUCCGGUAAGUCGGCUGUGAAAGUCCAGGGCUCAACCCUGGGAUGCCGGUCGAUACUGCCGGACUAGAGUUCGGAAGAGGCGAGUGGAAUUCCCGGUGUAGCGGUGAAAUGCGCAGAUAUCGGGAGGAACACCUAUGGCGAAGGCAGCUCGCUGGGACGUUACUGACGCUGAGACGCGAAAGCGUGGGGAGCAAACAGG